rnacentral:rRNA from 1 species
AGAGUUUGAUCCUGGCUCAGGACGAACGCUGGCGGCGUGCUUAACACAUGCAAGUCGAACGGAAAGGCCCUUCGGGGUACUCGAGUGGCGAACGGGUGAGUAACACGUGGGUGAUCUGCCCUGCACUUUGGGAUAAGCCUGGGAAACUGGGUCUAAUACCGAAUAUGACCAUGCACUUCCUGGUGUGUGGUGGAAAGCUUUUGCGGUGUGGGAUGGGCCCGCGGCCUAUCAGCUUGUUGGUGGGGUAUGGCCUAUCAAGGCGACGACGGGUAGCCGGCCUGAGAGGGUGACCGGCCACACUGGGACUGAGAUACGGCCCAGACUCCUACGGGAGGCAGCAGUGGGGAAUAUUGCACAAUGGGCGCAAGCCUGAUGCAGCGACGCCGCGUGAGGGAUGACGGCCUUCGGGUUGUAAACCUCUUUCAAUAGGGACGAAGCGCAAGUGACGGUACCUAUAGAAGAAGGACCGGCCAACUACGUGCCAGCAGCCGCGGUAAUACGUAGGGUCCGAGCGUUGUCCGGAAUUACUGGGCGUAAAGAGCUCGUAGGUGGUUUGUCGCGUUGUUCGUGAAAACUCACAGCUUAACUGUGGGCGUGCGGGCGAUACGGGCAGACUAGAGUACUGCAGGGGAGACUGGAAUUCCUGGUGUAGCGGUGGAAUGCGCAGAUAUCAGGAGGAACACCGGUGGCGAAGGCGGGUCUCUGGGCAGUAACUGACGCUGAGGAGCGAAAGCGUGGGGAGCGAACAGGAUUAGAUACCCCGGUAGUCC